rnacentral:rRNA from 1 species
GGUUAAGCGACUAAGCGUACACGGUGGAUGCCCUGGCAGUCAGAGGCGAUGAAGGGCGUGCUAAUCUGCGAUAAGCGCCGGUAAGGUGAUAUGAACCGUUAUAACCGGCGAUACCCGAAUGGGGAAACCCAGUGUGACUCGUCACACUAUCAUUAACUGAAUCCAUAGGUUAAUGAGGCGAACCGGGGGAACUGAAACAUCUAAGUACCCCGAGGAAAAGAAAUCAACCGAGAUUCCCCCAGUAGCGGCGAGCGAACGGGGAGGAGCCCAGAGCCUGAAUCAGCAUGUGUGUUAGUGGAAGCGUCUGGAAAGGCGCGCGAUACAGGGUGACAGCCCCGUACACAAAAGCGCAUGUGCUGUGAGCUCGAUGAGUAGGG